CCUGGACCUGGACCUUAUCACCGAGUACCUGCAGAAACACAAGGAGACGGAGGAGAAGAAGAAGAAGGAGGGCAAGAGGAAAGGUGUCAGGGAGGAGGAGAAACUGAGAGGAAGAGGAGUCAAACGUCACCGCGGUCAGCAGUGUGACAAAUCCUUCACAACAUCAGGAUAUUUAAAGAUUCAUCAGAGAGUUCACACUGGAGAGAAACCUUACAGCUGUGCUCAAUGUGGGGCAGUUUUCACACUACAGAGUACCCUGAAAAGACAUCAACGCAUUCACACUGGAGAGAAGCCG